GUGGGGAAUAUUGGACAAUGGGCGAAAGCCUGAUCCAGCCAUGCCGCGUGUGUGAAGAAGGUCUUCGGAUUGUAAAGCACUUUAAGUUGGGAGGAAGGGCAGUAAGUUAAUACCUUGCUGUUUUGACGUUACCGACAGAAUAAGCACCGGCUAACUUCGUGCCAGCAGCCGCGGUAAUACGAAGGGUGCAAGCGUUAAUCGGAAUUACUGGGCGUACAGCGCGCGUAGGUGGUUUUGUAAGUUGGAGGUGAAAUCCCCGGGCUCAACCUGGGAACUACCUCCAAAACUGCAUGACUAGAGUACGGUAGAGGGUAGUGGAAUUUCCUGUGUAGCGGUGAAAUGCGUAGAUAUAGGAAGGAACACCAGUGGCGAAGGCGACUACCUGGACUGAUACUGACACUGAGGUGCGAAAGCGUGGGGAGCAAACAGGAUUAGAAACCCCUGUAGUCC
rnacentral:rRNA from 1 species